rnacentral:rRNA from 1 species
UACGGGGGGGGCAAGCGUUGUUCGGAAUUAUUGGGCGUAAAGGGCUCGUAGGCGGCCAACUAAGUCAGACGUGAAAUCCCUCGGCUCAACCGGGGAACUGCGUCUGAUACUGGAUGGCUUGAAUCCGGGAGAGGGAUGUGGAAUUCCAGGUGUAGCGGUGAAAUGCGUAGAUAUCUGGAGGAACACCGGUGGCGAAGGCGGCAUCCUGGGCCGGUAUUGACGCUGAGGAGCGAAAGCCAGGGGAGCAAACGGG